UUUAGCCGGAUGAAAGGAAACUUUCACGUCCGAUUUUUAGGGGGGGAGGGGGGCGGAGAUCCUAUCCCAAU
rnacentral:ncRNA from 1 species